rnacentral:rRNA from 1 species
UUCCGUUAGGUGAACCUGCGGAAGGAUCAUUAA